GAUGAACGCUGGCGGCGUGCCUAAUACAUGCAAGUCGAGCGAACGGACGAGAAGCUUGCUUCUCUGAUGUUAGCGGCGGACGGGUGAGUAGCACGUGGAUAACCUACCUAUAAGACUGGGAUAACUUCGGGAAACCGGAGCUAAUACCGGAUAAUAUUUUGAACCGCAUGGUUCAAAAGUGAAAGACGGUCUUGCUGUCACUUAUAGAUGGAUCCGCGCUGCAUUAGCUAGUUGGUAAGGUAACGGCUUACCAAGGCAACGAUGCAUAGCCGACCUGAGAGGGUGAUCGGCCACACUGGAACUGAGACACGGUCCAGACUCCUACGGGAGGCAGCAGUAGGGAAUCUUCCGCAAUGGGCGAAAGCCUGACGGAGCAACGCCGCGUGAGUGAUGAAGGUCUUCGGAUCGUAAAACUCUGUUAUUAGGGAAGAACAUAUGUGUAAGUAACUGUGCACAUCUUGACGGUACCUAAUGAGAAAGCCACGGCUAACUACGUG
rnacentral:rRNA from 1 species